AUUGAACGCUGGCGGCAUGCCUUACACAUGCAAGUCGAACGGCAGCGGACCUUCGGGUGCCGGCGAGUGGCGAACGGGUGAGUAAUAUAUCGGAACGUACCUUUCAGUGGGGGAUAACGUAGCGAAAGUUACGCUAAUACCGCAUAUUCUGUGAGCAGGAAAGCAGGGGAUCGCAAGACCUUGCGCUGAUUGAGCGGCCGAUAUCAGAUUAGCUAGUUGGUGAGGUAAAGGCUCACCAAGGCGACGAUCUGUAGCGGGUCUGAGAGGAUGAUCAGCCACACUGGAACUGAGACACGGUCCAGACUCCUACGGGAGGCAGCAGUGGGGAAUAUUGGACAAUGGGGGCAACCCUGAUCCAGCCAUGCCGCGUGUGUGAAGAAGGCCUU
rnacentral:rRNA from 1 species